UUAGCCCGAAACCAAUCUAGUAAUACCCAGACCUGAACGGGUUAUCCGUCUAUCUUCACCGAAGGAAAUCGGCACUACCAAAGUUAGAUGAUUCACCCGAUUAAAUUCCAUCAAAUUUGAUGUCUCCGAUAUCAUCCUUGCCGUCUCCGCUUUCAAUUCCGCCUGAGAAAACAAUUGUUUUUUCUAAAAUCGAUUUCAUCCAUUGGAUCUCUUCCUUGGUACUUUUUCCUUUUCCUUCAUUCUUCUCAUUUCUACCCGCGAUCCCUAUUUCUUAUGAAUCUCUAGAUCUACUGAGCUUAAUCGUAUGACCAUCAUAGGUAAAUCUAAUCACCUCUCUUGCAUAUUGGUAUUAUUUUCCAUGUUCAUAUUAUUCCGUAUGUUUUAGAUUUGAGUCUUGCAUGACUCAUACUGCAAUUUUUUUUGGGGUUUUGAAAAGUUCAAGCUAACUCAUUGUUUGCUUCUGUUUUUUUUUUUUUUUCAAUUGUCCGAUCCGGAUUACUCAUAUAAUGCUCAAAUUUGCUGUUGUUGGUGCAAUUUAAGUUUAAGACUUGAAGCUCUUUUAUUGGUUUGACUCAAUUUGCUGGAUGCUUCAGCUUCGAUCCGACUGGUAUUCAUUUUGGAGUUACGAUACCCUCUCUCUCUCUCACUCUAAGCACAAAGCUUAAUUAAUUAGUCUGGAUGAAGUUCUGGAAACAUCAUUGACCUGAGCCAUGUGAGAUGAAACAGGAGAAAAUGCCUUAGAUCGGAAGGAUGUGUGAAACCAUUUGUGGCCGCGAUGACUUUUUCUAAGGUUUGAGUGAAAGGAACUGUUUGGAUACACAUCUAAUGUAAUUAAGAUCCGAAUAGAGUAGUAACCAAACACAGAGGAUCCGCGUCCUUUUACACUUCUGAUUACCUAUAUGCCCUUAAAUUUUAUUUUUCUUUCUUCUUCCUUGCUUUUAUCGUAGGGGCAUUAUAUGGAAUUUUUUCUUUUUUUUUUUUCCGAAAAUACAUGUUUUUGUACUCUCCAAUUAAUAGUAUAGAUUUUGAAAGAUU